GACGAACGCUGGCGGCGCGCUUAACACAUGCAAGUCGAGCGAUGAAAUUUCGACAGAUCCCUUCGGGGUGAAGAUGAAAUGGAUUAGCGGCGGACGGGUGAGUAACACGUGAGUAACCUGCCUUUGACAUUGGGAUAGCCUCGGGAAACUGGGAUUAAUACCAAAUGACACUAACUGAUCACAUGAUCAAUUAGUCAAAGAAAUUCGGUCAAAGAUGGACUCGCGGCUGAUUAGCUAGUUGGUGAGGUAACGGCCCACCAAGGCGACGAUCAGUAGCCGGCCUGAGAGGGUGAUCGGCCACAUUGGAACUGAGACACGGUCCAAACUCCUACGGGAGGCAGCAGUGGGGAAUAUUGCACAAUGGGGGAAACCCUGAUGCAGCGACGCCGCGUGAGCGAAGAAGGCCUUCGGGUCGUAAAGCUCUUUUAUGAGGGAAGAUAAUGACGGUACCUCAAGAAAAAGCCCCGGCUAACUACG
rnacentral:rRNA from 1 species